ACGUAGUGUGUUUUUAUGGUUAACUUCUCUGAUAAUUACUGUUUGUUCUAAACAGCCAGCCUUAUAAUCUUCAUCGGUUGUCUUGGUUGACCGGCAAGUUAACUUUAAAAAAAUUAGAGUACUCAAAGCAGACGUGACGCCUGAAUAAUAGUGCAUGGAGUAGGAUUUCGAUUCUAUUUUGUUGGUUUUCGUAAUACGAGGUCAUGAUUAACAGAGACAGACGGGGGCCAUUCGUAUUGCGACGCUAGAGGUGAAAUUCUUGGACCGUCGCAAGAUGAACUACUGCGAAAGCAUUUGCCAAAAAUGUUUCCGUUAAUCAAGU
rnacentral:ncRNA from 1 species